GGUUUUAAGGUGGGCUGUGAAUCUGGUGGGUCUCUGACAGCCUUUUGGUGUGGAAGCUUCAUUCCUGUCACACAUCUCCGAAGGGCUCUGCUGGAAUCUCCUGGGCUUUUCCUUGUGGGUGAAGACCUCAAGGAGCCUGAAGAUGGGACUUGCAGCGCAGUUGUACCAGCAGCCUCUUUUGGUGAAUGAGCCCAUGCUGGUCACCACCGACUUCUUCCCCAUCCCCAUCAGGAAAUUGAUGGGAGACUGACGUGAGGCUGGAAACUUCACAGGACGCUCCCUGAGUUGCCUCCUCCAUCAUGCCACAAGGGCUGUUGAAACAGAACUGAAUGAAACUUCACCUCCCAGGGAGAAGCAGUAAAUCUCAUGCUGCCUGGCCUUGGAGGCAGAAGAUGAAGCCCAAGCAUCAUGUGGGUGGGAAAAUACAAGGACUCCUACGAACAUCAAGGAAGACAUCCGCAGCUGGUGUAAGCCACAAAUCCAGCUAUGCCUGAUCCUACCCAAGGUCCCAUACAGCCAAAAAGAGGCUUUAAAAUAUCCCGGGGAGGAAGCAGCGAUAGAGCUUGCUGUGUCCAAGUCCAUGCAUUAUGUAUUUCUCACCAGAGUUUGCAUGAGAUCAAUGAGGCUGCGUCCCGUCAUCAGUCGACAGCCUGCUCUUUGAUGAACGCUGCGCUGAAGUCUGGGCACGGCAGCACUGGAUGGUGGUGGGAGCGCAGGUUGGGCAGGGCACAGCUUUAAGGCAGAAGGAGCAGAGGGAGAGGAGGAAGAGGAUGCACCCUAAAGCUUGGGGCAGUCACCACUGCGAAUUCCUUGCAGCCUGGGUGUUGUGAUGCUUCCCUGGGUUAAGGCGCAGAGCUGUGUUGCUGCCACUUACGAACUCUUCACUCUUAUUUAUGCACUCUUCCCUACAUGCUCUUAUUUAUACACACAAAUAAAAGCUGGGCGGUCACCCACUGCAUUAUGAAAAAUCCUGCCAUGCCCAUUUUACCUGAUUUAGUGUGUGCUAAGUAAUUUUCAGAAGAUAGCUUUAGGACUGCUUCACAUCUCUCUUUUUGAGAAAUGCAGCACCUUCCUGGACCACAGCAAACUGUCUUCCCUCCAGCUUCCCCUUUGCCACAGGGAAUGAAUUUCAGAGCUUUUUUUCAGCUCAUUAUUCUAAGCAUUUCAUCAGACGUUACAUGUCUGAUUAACGUUUCACAGGCUGUGUUGUGGUAUAAUAUCUGCUUCUGACGUGGGCUGCUGCGGCAGGCAGAAGAGAAAUCCAUUGCGUUUUAGAUGGAGAUAACAGUUUAAUCUGAUCUGCACUUGGAAAAGAAAAAUCUCUCGGGGGAAAACCCAGGUCCCUGAAGGCAGUGUGCGAGGCCAAGGCACUGCUGGCUCCCAUAACCAUCCCUGCAGAGAGGUGACCUAUUCUCACAGAAAGCACUAGGAGGUCUUACAUUUUUCAAGCUGACUUUAAGCCUACAGUAAGACCCACGAGCAGGCUCUGUGCCAUAAAAGACGAGAGAAAUUGAAGCUUUCCCUGGCUUUGUGGAGGACUUGAUGCUCAACAUGGAAAAACCUCCGGGAGUUUGCAAAUGCUGCAGGAGGAGCAGCAGAAGUCUGUUGUGCUUGAGGGGAAAAAUCAGCCUGUGGUCUGAAAACAGGGCAAGGACCCUGCUUGGUCAGGGGAAGGACUCUCCCCUGUACACCACAUCGAGUGCUCACUCUGCUUGUUUUAAGUGCUACCACAGCUAUGACAGCCUUGAAACCUCAAAGUCGGAUUUGGUUUUAAGAUGAAGUUAGCCAAGAGCAGCAAACAGAUCUGUUCAUUUUAAGCCUAUUCCUUUUUUUGUUUUUGUUUUUCCUACUGACUGUAGUUGCAUAGAAAAUCUAAACCAAAAAAAUAAAGUUUCUGAUUAAUCGUUUCUUAUGUUUGAAGAAG